UACGUAGGGGGCAAGCGUUGUCCGGAUUUAUUGGGCGUAAAGAGCGUGUAGGCGGCCAUGUAGGUCCGUUGUGAAAACUCGAGGCUCAACCUCGAGACGCCGAUGGAAACCAUGUGGCUAGAGUCCGGAAGAGGAGAGUGGAAUUCCUGGUGUAGCGGUGAAAUGCGCAGAUAUCAGGAAGAACACCCGUGGCUAAGGCGGCUCUCUAGUACGGUACUGACGCUGAGACGCGAAAGCGUGGGAGCGAACAGG
rnacentral:rRNA from 1 species